rnacentral:rRNA from 1 species
GAUGAACGCUGGCGGCGUGCCUAAUACAUGCAAGUCGAGCGAACAGACGAGGAGCUUGCUCCUCUGACGUUAGCGGCGGACGGGUGAGUAACACGUGGAUAACCUACCUAUAAGACUGGGAUAACUUCGGGAAACCGGAGCUAAUACCGGAUAAUAUAUUGAACCGCAUGGUUCAAUAGUGAAAGACGGUUUUGCUGUCACUUAUAGAUGGAUCCGCGCCGCAUUAGCUAGUUGGUAAGGUAACGGCUUACCAAGGCGACGAUGCGUAGCCGACCUGAGAGGGUGAUCGGCCACACUGGAACUGAGACACGGUCCAGACUCCUACGGGAGGCAGCAGUAGGGAAUCUUCCGCAAUGGGCGAAAGCCUGACGGAGCAACGCCGCGUGAGUGAUGAAGGUCUUCGGAUCGUAAAACUCUGUGAUUAGGGAAGAACAAAUGUGUAAGUAACUAUGCACGUCUUGACGGUACCUAAUCAGAAAGCCACGGCUAACUACGUG